CUGGCAUUCAGUCUCAGUCGCGAAUCGCGAGUGCGAGUGAUGACAAUGUGUCUUGAUAACUCAACAAUAAUCACAGCCCCAUUGUCACGGUGAAAUAACAUUUUCCAUUUCCUCAACAAUAGAAAAAAAAAAAAACACCCGGCGUUUUUAGAAUUUCAAAACUUUAAACACAAGUCAGUGAUUAUUUUCUUGAAAAAUCAAGACAAUGCUUCCGUAUAAUUAACUUUUAAAAUUAACAAAACGUGAAACCUGGAAAUUUAUUUGCGUGUCUUCUGACGCAAGCUCUGGCCAAGAAUCUGAAUAAAUAUUAAUAUCCACAUUAAUUUACAAAGAAGUUAAUAAAUAAAUACUUGGAUAAGAUGGAUAGAAAGAUAUUUAUAUUUUUAACAUUUAUCACUUCAAAUUAUCUCACGGUUGGCAAGUUGUACGUUAAUGUCAGCGGCGAUAUAACACUUGGAGCGCUUUUUCCCGUCCACAAGAAAGGCUCCGACGGCAAGAGCUGCGGUAAUAUUCAGCUAGAAGAUGGUAUUCAACCUCUAGAGGCAAUGCUUUUCACUGUACAACAAAUAAAUCAAAAUCCGAGAAUCCUACCGGGGAUAAAACUCGGUGUUCUUGCUUUUGAUUCCUGUGACAAUCCAAAUCAUGCGCUGCAGCAGGCAUUGAAUUUCGUAAAGGGGUUCAUAGCUCACGUGAACGAAUACCACGACACGGAAUUCCAGUGCUCAGACGGGAGCGUUCCAAGAUUUCUGGGCGGAGGGUUUGAUAAAGUCGUCUCAGUUCUAGCCGCCCAGUCGAGUUCCGUAACGCUACAGGUUGCCUCGAUGCUCCGAUUAUUUGGUGUACCUCAAAUAUCAUACAUGGCGACUUCACCAUCGCUGAGUAGCAAAGAAAAAUAUCCGCAUUUUUUUCGAACCGUACCAAGUGACGUGAAUCAAGCGCACGCUAUGCUAGAAAUUCUCAAGCGAUUUGAGUGGACUUAUGUGUCAGUGGUCUACUCCGACACCGAGUACGGUAAUCACGGAUACGAGACCUUAGUUUCGCUGGCCAACAACUAUUCAAUCUGCUUCAGUGCGCCGCAGAGGAUAGACAAGGAGCACUUCGUAGCAGAAGACUACGAUAACGUCAUUCGUACAAUCACUAACAAAACUCAAGUUCGAGUGGUAGUACUUUUCGCGGAGAAAACAACAACUCUUCGAGUGCUCGAAGCUGCCCGACGACUUGGAGUUGGCACGAGAUUUGUGUGGAUUGGAAGCGACGCUUGGCCUAGUACAAAUCAUCGUGAUUUGCACAGUUUGGGAAAUUACAAUAGGGACCAAGAAACUGUUGUGCUGGAGGGGGCGCUUGCUGUUCAACCCUUGUCGAGACACUUGGAUGGUUUUGAUGAUUACUUUACUAAUCUGACCCUAAGUCACGCUGAAGUCAAUCCUUGGUUUCAGGAACUUUGGCAGGAGUAUCAUAAGUGUGAUAAAGAUACUUUAGACGGCUGCGAUGAUCCAUCAAUGAAAAUGAAAUAUCGAACAGCUUACAAGCAGCAAAGAUUCAUCCACUUCGUUCGGGACGCGGUUUACGCGGUGGCUCAUGCGUUGCAUAAUCUACAGGUGGAGGCAUGUGGGAAGAAUUUCAUCGGUAUUUGCGACAGAAUGAGACACAUAGACGGCGAAACUCUGUCAAAGUACUUGAGCACGGUCACGUUCAAAGAUGAAGCCGGUAAUCCAUUUAGGUUCGUUAACAAAGUUGACGGUCCACCCCGCUAUUCUAUUUUGAAUUUCCAGCGCGAAGACGACGGAACUUAUCACUGGCACGUUGUAGGCAAUUAUACCCAAACGAACGGCGCGAAGCCGAUUUUAUUUGUUGACGAAACAAAGUUGAAAUAUCGCAACGAAAAUGAGUCAGGAGCGAAAUUUUUCCCCACAUCGGCUUGCUCGUCGCCUUGCCAGCAUAACCAGGUCGCUGUUAGGGAAAAACAGGACGCUUGUUGCUGGCACUGCCAAAAUUGCGGCUCCUACCAAUUCAAAGCUGACGAGCACCGCUGCCAAGACUGCGAAAAAGGAAAAAAGCCCACCAGUGACAGAAAAAGCUGCGAAUUAGUCGAGGAAGAAUUUAUUGACUACUCGAGUCCUUGGGCCGUCGGCGCGAUGGCUGUUGCUAGUUGUGGAAUACUGGCGACUAUCUUUGUGCUGUCAGUGCUCUGGAUUUACAGCGACACGCCGAUAAUAAAAGCCUCCGGUCGCGAAUUGUCCUCGCUAUUAUUGGUAGGAACGCUGAUAUCAUUUCUGAUGACGUUCGCUAUUGUCGCGGAGCCGAAUGUCGAGACUUGUGCAAUCACCAGGUUUGGAGUUGGCUUCUGCUACACGCUUUGCUACGCGGCUCUGGUCACUAAGACCAACAGGAUCCACAGGAUCUUCAAUAAAAAGUGCCACAGCCCUCACAAGCCCAAGUAUACGAGUCCAAAGUCGCAAAUUGUUAUUACGGGGCUUAUUACUUCUGUGGAAGUUUUUAUCAAUGCUCUGUGGCUGUACAUUGUACCCUCAUCGAUUUUGUAUUCGUAUCCUUCAAGGGAGACAAGGAUACGCAUCUGCAGCGGGCUUGAUGAUGAGUCUUACUUGGUUGGAUUAGUUUAUCCUUUUAUUUUGAUAGUGAUUUGCACAAUAUACGCAGUGAAAACAAGAAAAUGCCCGGAUGGAUUCAACGAAACCAAACACAUUGCCUUCACGAAUUACACGACAUUGAUACUCUGGCUGGCGUUCGUGCCGCUGUACCUGGCAUUCACCAGUAAUGCAAUCAGAGUUGUUACACUGGCGCUGUCACUCUCUUUGAGCGGAAUCGCGCAACUUGGGUGCUUGUUUUUUCCAAAAGUUUAUAUCGUGCUGAUGAAGCCGGAGAAAAACACGAAAGAACUUGUUAUGGCACAUCACAGAAGUUCCUCUUAUUUGUCGUCACCCGCAGCGACGCCAAUUGUUAUUCUCAAUGGUAAUCCAUUCGCAUUUUCCACACCAAUCAAAAAGGCGUAAAAGGAAUUAUUUGAAAAAUAUUCAAGGUAAUGAAUCAUUACUAAGAUCAUCGCGUAGUUGUAGCACAACUUCAACUUUAUGUAAUACAAAGCCAUUGAUUGAUAUUAAUGCGUCGAACGAAGCAAUUAAUGAAAACACCGAGUCAGAAUUAAAGCUGACGUAAAGACUUUUUAUAAAAA
rnacentral:misc_RNA from 1 species